rnacentral:misc_RNA from 1 species
UCUCCGUUGGUGAACCAGCGGAGGGAUCAUUACAGAGUUGCAAAACUCCCAAACCAUUGUGAACGUUACCUAUCCCGUUGCUUCGGCGGGCGGCCCGGGCCCCGCGCCCGGCGCCCCCCGGCCCCCCGUUGGCGCCCGCCGGAGGUAAGUCAAACCCUUGAAUUGCAUGGCCUCACUGAGUCUUCUGUACUGAAUAAGUCAAAACUUUCGACAACGGAUCUCUUGGUUCUG